rnacentral:rRNA from 1 species
UACAGAGGGUGCGAGCGUUAAUCGGAAUUACUGGGCGUAAAGCGUGCGUAGACGGCUAUCUAAGUCGGGUGUGAAAGCCCCGGGCUCAACCUGGGAAUUGCAUUCGAGACUGAAUAGCUAGGGUACGGUAGAGGGAAGCGGAAUUUCCGGUGUAGCGGUGAAAUGCGUAGAUAUCGGAAGGAACAUCAGUGGCGAAAGCGGCUUCCUGGACCAGUACCGACGUCAGGCACGAAAGCGUGGGGAGCAAACAGA